rnacentral:misc_RNA from 1 species
CUGAGUUUACAACUCCCAAACCCUUUGUGAACAUACCUAAUUGUUGCUUCGGCGGGAUCGCCCCGGCUGCCCUGAGCGCCGGAACCAGGCCCCCGCCGCAAGACCUUAAACUCUGUUUUACUAUAGUUGUUUACUCUGAGUAGCUUCUAAAGCAAAUAAAUAAAUCA